rnacentral:lncRNA from 1 species
CUUUUUCGUAAUUUCUCAUUCAUCCGAUAUUGGUUUUCGAAAUGCCAAAUAUACCCUUCAAUACAUGCAGAGAAAUCAAAAUUCUCUUUCGGGGGCGUUGCCCCCGACCCCCCUCGACCCUCGCGACCUGACCGGGCAGGUCGAUCCCCGUUUGUGCGCCCCGAAGCGGCGAAGUGGCAAACAAUUUUGCCUAAACGGAUUGAGUCGAGCUUUUGAGUAUUUGGCCGAAUUCGAUACGAACUUUAAUCGAUUUUCAAUUCUCAAUUUAUUUAACCAAUAUCCAACAUAUACGUGCUGGCUGAAGAAAAGAGGUGGCUAGGUUAGAAUAGAUAUACGACGGUGGGUGGCAGUCAAUUAGAUUUCAUAUACAAGGAAUUGGGUGGCAGCCAAUUGAAGGAAAAGUGGAGAAUCUUUUGGAGACAAAACCAUUAAUAAGGCAGCCAACUCGGAGAAAUUCUGAAAGAAAACGGAGGCAGCUAGUUGGAUUGCAAAAGGGCUGCUAAAUUAAUACAAUUGCUGGGAGAAAAGAAACGGUUGGAAUUUCACUCUUUUGGAGUAUACAAAACCGGCAGCUAGGGGGGAGAAAAGAAGGAAAAUUUAGGCGGCAUCCUGUAGUAAGAAAUUGAGUAACAUUUGAUCAUUGUUUUGGCUGUCAAAUAUUGUGGCUGGAUUUAAUAUAUACAGCAAUUAGAGAAGCCGAAAUUGGAGCAGUAACGUGGAAGCAGCUGCUGGUUUUGUUGCAUGGAAUUGACAUACA